rnacentral:rRNA from 1 species
UAGAGUUUGAUCAUGGCUCAGGAUGAACGCUAGCGACAGGCUUAACACAUGCAAGUCGAGGGGCAGCGGGGAGGUAGCAAUACUUCCGCCGGCGACCGGCGCACGGGUGAGUAGCACGUAUGGAACCUGCCCGUAGCAGGGGGAUAAGCGGAAGAAAUUCCGUCUAAUACCGCGUAAUAACUCCGAGAGGCAUCUCAUGGGGUUUAAAGGGUGACACCGGCUACGGAUGGCCAUGCGGCGCAUUAGCUAGUUGGCGGGGUAACGGCCCACCAAGGCGACGAUGCGUAGGGGUUCUGAGAGGAAGGUCCCCCACACUGGUACUGAGACACGGACCAGACUCCUACGGGAGGCAGCAGUGAGGAAUAUUGGUCAAUGGGCGCGAGCCUGAACCAGCCAAGUCGCGUGAGGGAAGACGGUCCUAUGGAUUGUAAACCUCUUUUGUCGGGGAGCAAAAGACGCCACGUGUGGCGUUCCGAGAGUACCCGAAGAAAAAGCAUCGGCUAACUCCGUGCCAGCAGCCGCGGUAAUACGGAGGAUGCGAGCGUUAUCCGGAUUUAUUGGGUUUAAAGGGUGCGCAGGCGGAAGAUCAAGUCAGCGGUAAAAUUGAGAGGCUCAACCUCUUCGAGCCGUUGAAACUGGUUUUCUUGAGUGAGCGAGAAGUAUGCGGAAUGCGUGGUGUAGCGGUGAAAUGCAUAGAUAUCACGCAGAACUCCGAUUGCGAAGGCAGCAUACCGGCGCUCAACUGACGCUCAUGCACGAAAGUGUGGGUAUCGAACAGGAUUAGAUACCCUGGUAGUCCACACAGUAAACGAUGAAUACUAAUUGUUCGGGGAGAAUGAUCCCUGAGUGAUACAGCGAAAGCGUUAAGUAUUCCACCUGGGGAGUACGCCGGCAACGGUGAAACUCAAAGGAAUUGACGGGGGCCCGCACAAGCGG